rnacentral:rRNA from 1 species
GACGAACGCUGGCGGCGUGCUUAACACAUGCCAGUCGAACGGAAAGGCCCCUUUGGGGGUACUCGAGUGGCGAACGGGUGAGUAACACGUGAGUAACCUGCCCUUGACUUCGGGAUAACUUCAGGAAACUGGGGCUAAUACCGGAUAGGAAUCCUUGCUGCAUGGUGGGGGUUGGAAAGCUUCGGCGGUUUUGGAUGGACUCGCGGCUUAUCAGCUUGUUGGUGGGGUAGUGGCUUACCAAGGCUUUGACGGGUAGCCGGCCUGAGAGGGCGACCGGCCACAUUGGGACUGAGAUACGGCCCAGACUCCGACGGGAGGCAGCAGUGGGGAAUAUUGCACAAGGGGCGGAAGCCUGAUGCAGCAACGCCGCGUGCGGGAUGACGGCCUUCGGGUUGUAAACCGCUUUCAGCAGGGGCGAAGCUUGUGGUGACGGUACCUGGAGAAGAAGCACCGGCUAACUACGUG